rnacentral:rRNA from 1 species
AUACGGAGGGUGCAAGCGUUAAUCGGAAUUACUGGGCGUAAAGCGCGCGUAGGCGGUUUAGUAAGUCGGAUGUGAAAGCCCUGGGCUCAACCUGGGAAUUGCAUUCGAUACUGCUGGACUAGAGUAUGGUAGAGGGAAGUGGAAUUUCCGGUGUAGCGGUGAAAUGCGUAGAUAUCGGAAGGAACACCAGUGGCGAAGGCGACUUCCUGGGCCAAUACUGACGCUGAGGUGCGAAAGCGUGGGGAGCAAACAGGAUUAGAAACCCGAGUAGUCC